rnacentral:rRNA from 1 species
UUUUUUAUAAAAAUAAUUUAUUUAUUUAAGGUUUUAGUAUUUAUUAAAAAUUAAUUUUUAGAUUUAUAGUUUAAUAGUAUUGUGAAAGAAAUUAUUAAAUUUUUAAAAGAAUUUUUUAGUACCUUUUGUAUCAGGGUUGAUUAAAAUUUUUAAUUUUUUUUUAAUUUCUCAAAAUUUAUAGAGUUAAUUUUAUUAUUAAUUUAUUGUGUUAUAAAUAUUUAAAAAAUAAUAUUAGUUUUGAAAUUUAAUUCGUUAUAUUAUAUUUAGUUAUUUAAGAUUUAAAUUUAAUUUAAAAUUUUAAAAGUUAUAUUGAUUUUAUUAAUUAAUAUUUUAAAUUUAAAUUAUUUUAAGGAUAAGCUUGAAAUUUUUAUAUAAUGAUUUAAUUAUUUUAAUAAUUUAUAGGAAUAGAAAUUUUUAUUUUAAGUUUGUAAAAAUUUAUUAUUUAUUUUAUUAUAAUUUAUUAUAUUUUUAUUUAUUUUUUUUAUUAAAUUUUAUUAAUUAAUAUUUAAUUAAUAGUAAUAAUGAUUAAAUUAGUAUAAUUUAAAUUUAUAAAUUAUGAAUUCGGCAAAAAUUAUUUUCAUCUGUUUAACAAAAACAUUGUAUUAAGUUUAAUUUAAUAUAGGAUCUGCUCAAUGAUUUAUUAAAUAGCUGCAGUAUUUUGACUGUGCAAAGGUAGCAUAAUAAUUAGUCUUUUAAUUGAGGACUUGAAUGAAAGAUUUGAUGAGAAAUAGACUUUAUUAUUUAUAUAGUUAAAAUUUUAUUUUUAAGUAAAAAAGCUUAAAUUAUUUAAAGGGACGAUAAGACCCUAUAAAACUUUAUAAAUUUUAUUUUUAAUUUUUUUUUGGAUUUAUAAAUAUUUUAUUUUUAGGAUUUAUUUUAUUGGGGUGAUAAAAAAAAAUAAUUAACUUUUUUUAAAGUUUAACAUUAUUUAAUGAAUAUUUGAGUUAAAAUUUUUAAUUAAAGGAAAAAGUUACUUUAGGGAUAACAGCGUAAUUAAUUUUUUAAGUUCAAAUUUAAAAAUUGGAUUGCGACCUCGAUGUUGAAUUAAGAUUAAUCUUAGGUGCAAAAUUUUAAGUGUUAGGUCUGUUCGACCUUUAAA